rnacentral:rRNA from 1 species
UACGUAGGGUGCAAGCGUUAAUCGGAAUUACUGGGCGUAAAGCGUGCGCAGGCGGUGAUGUAAGACAGAUGUGAAAUCCCCGGGCUCAACCUGGGAACUGCAUUUGUGACUGCAUCGCUGGAGUGCGGCAGAGGGGGAUGGAAUUCCGCGUGUAGCAGUGAAAUGCGUAGAUAUGCGGAGGAACACCGAUGGCGAAGGCAAUCCCCGUGGGCCUGCACUGACGCUCAGUGCACGAAAGCGUGGGGAGCAAACAGG